rnacentral:rRNA from 1 species
CGGGGUGCAGCAGGCGCGAAAACUCUACAAUGCAGGCAACUGCGAUAGGGGAACAUCGAGUGAUCCUCAUAUUGGGGGUCUGUCCACUCGUCUAAAAAACGGGUGUUAGCAAGGGCCGGGCAAGACCGGUGCCAGCCGCCGCGGUAAUACCGGCGGCUCGAGUGGUGGCCGAUAUUAUUGAGUCUAAAGGGUCCGUAGCCGGCUUUGCAAGUCUCUCGGGAAAUCCAGCGGCUUAACCGUUGGUCGUCCGGGGGGUACUACAUUGCUUGGGACUGGGAGAGGUAGGAGGUACUCAGGGGGUAGGAGUGAAAUCCUGUAAUCCUUUGGGGACCACCGGUGGCGAAGGCGUCCUACCAGAACAGGUCCGACGGUGAGGGACGAAAGCUAGGGGCACGAACCGGAUUAGAUACCCGGGUAGUCCUAGCCGUAAACGAUGCUCGCUAGGUGUCACAACAGUCGUGAACUGUUGUGGUGCCGUAGGGAAGCCGUGAAGCGAGCCACUUGGGAAGUACGACCGCAAGGUUGAAACUUAAAGGAAUUGGCGGGGGAGCACAAGGGCGAUUCGCG